AGAGAUUGUACCAGAACACAGCUGUUCCCUGGGAAUGGCAGAGAACACUCAGCCCUGUGCUCUGUGCAACACACAUUAAAGCAAAGGUGGGGAGGAGUGGAUUUAUCUGCUGGAUCAAUCCUGCUCACCUUUCUCGGCCAAACGCUGGCUCCCACUUCAGGGAAGACCGUGGCUCCCCCUGCUGACACAUCACUCAUCUGAACAGGUGGGGAAGGACAGGUUCAGCUGGUGGUUUAGAGGGCUUUCUCCAUGGACAUGGAUUAGGAAAGUGGAAGAGCUACAAAAUUUAAUACACAUUGAAAAAUAGAGAGUGUGCCCCAGCCCAGAGGCCCAGGCUUCACCAGGUCUAGCUCUCCUCCAGCU